CUGGCGGCGUGCCUAAUACAUGCAAGUCGAACGCACAGCGAAAGGUGCUUGCACCUUUCAAGUGAGUGGCGAACGGGUGAGUAACACGUGGACAACCUGCCUCAAGGCUGGGGAUAACAUUUGGAAACAGAUGCUAAUACCGAAUAAAACUUAGUGUCGCAUGACACAAAGUUAAAAGGCGCUUCGGCGUCACCUAGAGAUGGAUCCGCGGUGCAUUAGUUAGUUGGUGGGGUAAAGGCCUACCAAGACAAUGAUGCAUAGCCGAGUUGAGAGACUGAUCGGCCACAUUGGGACUGAGACACGGCCCAAACUCCUACGGGAGGCUGCAGUAGGGAAUCUUCCACAAUGGGCGAAAGCCUGAUGGAGCAACGCCGCGUGUGUGAUGAAGGCUUUCGGGUCGUAAAGCACUGUUGUAUGGGAAGAACAGCUAGAAUAGGAAAUGAUUUUAGUUUGACGGUACCAUACCAGAAAGGGACGGCUAAAUACGUGCCAGCAGCCGCGGUAAUACGUAUGUCCCGAGCGUUAUCCGGAUUUAUUGGGCGUAAAGCGAGCGCAGACGGUUUAUUAAGUCUGAUGUGAAAGCCCGGAGCUCAACUCCGGAAUGGCAUUGGAAACUGGUUAACUUGAGUGCAGUAGAGGUAAGUGGAACUCCAUGUGUAGCGGUGGAAUGCGUAGAUAUAUGGAAGAACACCAGUGGCGAAGGCGGCUUACUGGACUGCAACUGACGUUGAGGCUCGAAAGUGUGGGUAGCAAACAGGAUUAGAUACCCUGGUAGUCCACACCGUAAACGAUGAACACUAGGUGUUAGGAGGUUUCCGCCUCUUAGUGCCGAAGCUAACGCAUUAAGUGUUCCGCCUGGGGAGUACGACCGCAAGGUUGAAACUCAAAGGAAUUGACGGGGACCCGCACAAGCGGUGGAGCAUGUGGUUUAAUUCGAAGCAACGCGAAGAACCUUACCAGGUCUUGACAUCCUUUGAAGCUUUUAGAGAUAGAAGUGUUCUCUUCGGAGACAAAGUGACAGGUGGUGCAUGGUCGUCGUCAGCUCGUGUCGUGAGAUGUUGGGUUAAGUCCCGCAACGAGCGCAACCCUUAUUGUUAGUUGCCAGCAUUCAGAUGGGCACUCUAGCGAGACUGCCGGUGACAAACCGGAGGAAGGCGGGGACGACGUCAGAUCAUCAUGCCCCUUAUGACCUGGGCUACACACGUGCUACAAUGGCGUAUACAACGAGUUGCCAACCCGCGAGGGUGAGCUAAUCUCUUAAAGUACGUCUCAGUUCGGAUUGUAGUCUGCAACUCGACUACAUGAAGUCGGAAUCGCUAGUAAUCGCGGAUCAGCACGCCGCGGUGAAUACGUUCCCGGGUCUUGUACACACCGCCCGUCACACCAUGGGAGUUUGUAAUGCCCAAAGCCGGUGGCCUAACCUUUUAGGAAGGAGCCGUCUAAGGCAGGACAGAUGACUGGGG
rnacentral:rRNA from 2 species